UACAGAGGUCUCAAGCGUUGUUCGGAUUCAUUGGGCGUAAAGGGUGCGUAGGCGGCGCGGUAAGUCGGGUGUGAAAUUUCGGAGCUCAACUCCGAAACUGCAUUCGAUACUGCCGUGCUUGAGGACUGGAGAGGAGACUGGAAUUUACGGUGUAGCAGUGAAAUGCGUAGAGAUCGUAAGGAAGACCAGUGGCGAAGGCGGGUCUCUGGACAGUUCCUGACACUGAGGCACGAAGGCCAGGGGAGCAAGCGGG
rnacentral:rRNA from 1 species